AUGUUGUCGGAGCGGACUCGACUCUGGCGCAGAAAUAAAUACACCCCGCGCGAAAACGCACAGCUGGGACGCGCAGCCGAGAGAACGCUUAGCUGAUAAGAGACAAAGUGUGCGGCCCCUCCCAUGUGGACCAGAAGACAAGGCGGGAAAGCGUAAAUACAUAGUUAGAAAUAAAUAUAUAUUUAUAUAUAUAUUAAAAAAAAAAAAAGAAAAAAAAAGAUAAUUUAUUGCUUCUGUUAUGAUUGCGGUCCGGAGAUUAGUUUUUUUUUCUUUUUCAUGGUGAUUAAUUGUUAUAGUUGAAGGCUGAUGUGCUGAGUUUGCACGGAGAUGGAUUGGAAAGUUCAGUCAUGGUGCAAGUGCAGAGACACGGAGGAAAACAGGUGUACAAUUCCUUGAAUUCAAAUUACUGGAGACGAAACAUCUUUUACUGAAGCCUUCAAGCUCAGGAUGCCGAGCGGUAAAUGCCAACUACCCAUGAUGCCCAGCCUAAGGAUAGCGGUACUGCUGGCAAGAUCCCAGUUAAAUGAGUCUGGUCAUGAACCUGGAUGAGACGCGAGUAUGGAGUUUGCUUAAGCAGGGCUGAGAUGACCUCAUGACCCUUACCCUGGAUCCUGGUUUUCCCACCCUGUGAAAAGAACCCCAUGAGGAACCUCAUCAUACCAGCUGUCCUCGUCUCGGCUCCAGAGCUGUAUUGAUGUUAGCAUGUGGAUGAUGCUGAGCUGCUUCACCUCAUCGCCUUUGUCUGAGGAGCUGAAUUUGCCUGAUUGAUUUGCCAAUUUAAAAAGAAAAAAACUAAACCAGAGCUGAUAUUUUUACUUGAAGAGUAUAUUAUUGUAUAUUUUCUGUAAUGAAAAAUGGAGACAAGUUACAAAUAUUGUAGACUGGCUGGAGUCCACCACAAUGUACAUCUAAAGCUCAUCUCUAUUAGCAGCAUAGUUUUUCUGUUUUCAUCUGCUCUACUGCACAUCUCCGAAGAUCUACACAUUUAGACCUGAGUAUAUUGUAACCAACUAUGCCAAGUCUGUAUCAGUAAAAAAAACCCUCUGAAAUCUGUCUCGUGUGUUGUUAUAAAAUAUUCUGGAUCACAUAACAUCAGAAUCUUUUACUAUUAAAGUCUUCAGGCAUGUAAUAUGCUGUAAGUACAGUGUCUCUAUUAAAGCAACUUUUAAAAAACUGCUAGUUUUUCUGUUACUUCAUUUAUAAAGUCUUGCUCGGACUGUAGAGCAGCAGUAUGAUGUGUGACGCAGGUGCUACAGUAACCCUGCACGUGUAUUCAGGUUAGGUUCGGUUCAACUUGAUUGUACUCGUACUUUGACAAUGACAGAGUAAAAUAAAAUGAAAAUACGAGUACAGAGUAAAAUGAAAUGCAGUUAGCAACCAACCAGUAGUUAAAAUAGCAAAUAAGUUAUAUGAGAUAAUAAGGUUAUGGUGCAAUAAGUUAAGAUAACAGUGUACACGUAAAGGUAAACAGUAUGAAGCAUACCAGUAAUGCAAAUGGCAAUUAAGUUAAAUGAAAUAAAUAAGAAUUAUGGUGCAAUAAACAGUUGAGAUAAACAGUAUACAGGUAGAGGUAAACAGCAUGAUGCAUGCAGAUGUGCAAAUAGCAAUAAUGUGCAAAUAACAGUCUGAUAUGAAUAACUAGUAAUGACAGAUAAUUGCAGAUGAUGGCAGUAAUGUACAAUACAGUGUACUAGGGCGUCUGAUUUUACUGUUUAGGUAUUAGGUGGAGGCUGGUAGUUAAUGCUUAGAAGCUGAGUUCAGCAUGAGUACAGCUGAAGGGAUAAAGCUGUUCAUGAGUCAUUUUAUGAAUAUUUGGUAUCUAAUCAGCAGCAAAGCACAUAUUACACACACGUAUUACAUUUUUCCUCCUUUAGGGUAAAUUGGCCUUAUUUUUUUCUCUAUAUUUAAAGAGUCUGCGUUUCAUCUAAGCCGAGAAGGUAGCAAGAGUAUACAGGUAAGCAAAUUAAGGUUGUUAUAAAAUUAUAAAAAAUAAUGUUAAAUUGUGAUUAAAUGUUAUGUAAAUAUUGCAAAAAAUGAAAAUAUCACCCUGUGCCUUAUUAGAGUACACUGAUCAGCCAUAACAUUAAAACCACUGACAGGCGAAGUGAAUAACACUGAUUAUCUCGUGACAAUGGCACCUGUCAAGGGGUGGGAUAUAUUAGGCAGUAAGUGAACAGUCAGUUCUCAAAGUUGAUGUGUUGGAAGCAGGAAGAAUGGGCAAGCAUACGGAUAUGAGCGACUUUGACAACGGCCAAAUUGUGAUGGAUAGAUGACUGGGUCUGAGAAGCUCCAAAAUGGCAGGUCUUGUGGGGUGUUCCUGGUAUGCAGUGGUUAGUACCUACCAAAAGUGGUCCAAGGAAGGAAAACUGGUGAACCGGCGACAAGUCAUGGGCGCCCAUGGCUCACUGAUGUGUGUGGGGAGCAAAGGCUAGCCCGUCUUUCCCGAUCCCACAGAAGAGCUACUGUAGCACAAGUUGCUGAAAAAGUUCAUGCUGGGUAUGACAGAACAUUGUUAGAACACAUAGUUGUAAAAUGUGGUUAAUGUAGCCUUCCUGUCAGCUCAAAGCAGCCUGAAGCUCUUGACCUGUAUCUGCAUGAUUUUAUGUAUCGUGCUGCUACUACAUGAUUGGUUAACUACAUAACUACAGAAAUGAGCAGGGGUAUGGGUGUUCCUAAUAUAGUGGCCAGUGUAUUUUUAGGCUUGUAUUAUUUUUAUGGUUGGCCAAUUAACACAUCAUGCCAUGCAAUUCUCAAACGUUCUUAUCAUCAUUGUUUUUUACUCACAUAAACAAAUGGUGUGUACAUACCAACUACCCAACAGCAAGAAAUGACAAGUUCACAUAAGUGUAUCAUGUGCCAAUACUUUUUUCAGCCUUAGGCAGACUUGCCCGUACUUGACUGUAGCUCAGUUAAAAAUCAGCCAUUACUGCUUACGUAAACACACUGCACAUAAUAUGUGGCAGCACAAGCCUUUUGUGAAUUGUUCAGUUUUAUUUUUCCCCACUGCAGCCCACUGGUGUAUUUACUGGUGGAAUGAUUUUCACUGAUCUUUCAACUUGCCAAAUAUUUCCUAGGAGUUCUGAAUUAAUUAACAACGGGACGUUGUUUAAAAAAAAAAAAAAACUUAGGGGCUCACAUCUCUAUUAAAGGCCAGAUUUAAUGCCAGUUUGGCACCUUAACAAUACAGGCCUUUAAAUAGUAUUGCUACCAAAUGUAGUAUUCUAAUAAAAAAUGCAUUCUUUGUUGGACUGAAAUUCAGUCUUUAAGGAUGAAAACACAAAGGGAUGUCCUGUAUUAGGAAAAUAAUCAACUUCAGGGUGGUACGAUGGAGAGAUCAGAGUGCUGUUACCACCCUGAAGAUUAUUUCGCCAUAACGGCACAUCUUGAAGCACAAACUUCUCUGUCCUGAAGACUCUGCCAUGACAGAUAAAGUGAGUUCUGACACGGGAGACCAAUCAGAUUAGACAAUUCUAACAUUGUUGUAGUACAAAACAUAAUAAUAAACAAAAAACAAGCACUGCAGUCAGGCUUCCUAGAACAGUCGAAGCUCAGUGUUUAGGGUUAUUUGCUAUUUUAAGACUGUCCGAGAACUGCUGUUGGGUCCUUCACCAAGGCCUUUUACAUGCAACUAAUUAGAUACAUUUCCAAAAUCUUUUAUCCAAGUAAGCUAAGAGCAGGCGUAAUGGGUGAGUUUACAUUGCUGGCUAAGGUCAACUUGCUUAUGUUGUGCAGGCGCUGAGGCCAGCUGCAUAAAGUCAGUCUCAUACAGUGACUUGCAUAAGACCUAUGAGGCCAAAAUUGAACUUUGUGGCCUUGGGAUAAAGAACUGAGUUUGGCAGAAACCCUACUCUGCAUAUCACCUUGAGAACAUUAUCUUCCCCCAGCGAAGCAUGAUGGUGGGAGCAUCAUGUUGUGAGGAUGUCUUUCAUCAGCUGGGACUAGGAAACUGGUCAGGGUUGAAGGGAAGAUUGAUGGAGCCAAGUACAGGGCAAUCCUAGAAGAAAACCUGUUCCAGUCUGCCAGAAACAAGCUCGGUUCUGGAUCCUGGAUCCUGCCAAAGGGCAUGUCAAAGUCUAGCUGCUUUAGUGAAAACGCUGGCAGCACAGCAGUGGGUGUCUCACUUACUUCUUGGGCAAAGAAUGGCUUUUAUAGUGACCUUAGCCUUGAAUGAAGGGAUUUGUAAAGCCCUGAUUAGACAUCGUUCACUUGACCUCAUUAGGUAAAAGUGCACCAAAUGACCUUUAGUAUUAUUGGAAUUGCAAUGGCUCACUGCACAAACUACAGAUAGCUGGUCUUAGGUGUUAAUCUUUCUUUAAAGUUUCAG